UCCUCGAUGGUCUAGUGGUCAUGAUUUCCGCUUGUCAUCCCAUACAAGGAACAAGCGCGGGAGACCUGGGUUCGAUUCCCAGUCGGGGAG
rfam:Aspergillus parasiticus ST-1 581, whole genome shotgun sequence.